GGGCAUUUGGCACAGUGGUAGCGCGCACGCUUCGCAUGGUGCAACUGCGUGAGGUCCAGGGUUCAAUCCCCUGAAUGUCCA
rfam:Ceriporiopsis subvermispora B unplaced genomic scaffold CERSTscaffold_7, whole genome shotgun sequence.